UUGACUGUAUAGUAGUUAAUUCUUUAUAGUACGUUCCUGCAAAAACACUCUUUUCUUCAGAGUUUUUCCUUUUCAGGAUAGUGGUAGUGUUGUGGUAACUAAUAAAGGCUACUCUUCAGAAAAUUGUAUAACUCGUUUUUAGUGUAUCUACUUCGCUUACUUAAUUCCAUAUUCCCUGUUUUCUAGACAGACUUCUUGGUGUCCACUGUACCCAUGGUUUCAACAGGACUGGCUACCUCAUGUGCAGAUAUUUGAUUGAUGUAGAAGGCAUGUGGCCAGAUGAUGCAAUUGAAUACUGGUGUUUUAUCUUUACAAGUUCUCCGUCAUUCCAUAAGAAAGCUGCUCGUCUUCUGGUUUCAUAAGAGAUGGUGAACAGUGGUAAAAUAUCCAGUUGACCGAAAUUUCUAGAGUACACUUCAGGGAGCGAAUGAUGGGGUGGAAUGUUGGGGCAGAGUGAGAGAUACAGAUUCUGGUGAGACUGAGAGUCAUGCACAAAAAUUACUGGGCUGUGGUGAAGGGAGAACAAAACUAAAUCAGGUUCCUGCUGGUGGACAGGAAGCCAAGAUGAAGAAGAAUGGUGCAUAGCUGGGCAGUGUAAUUAGGCCCCUAAGUGCUGUGUCUCCUGAUAGUAAUUAUGAACAGAAACCAAAUAAUAGUUACUAAUAACAUGGAGGUGACCAAUCCUUGAGAGCUGAGGCAGAGAGAAGGAAAGAUGGCAUUAUGCCUUGUCUCUGGUGCCUUGAGUUUCCCAGGCUGGUUUGUGACCAAUCUUGGGUGAAAUCAUAACUAAGUCAUUUCUGCUAAGGUGAUCAGCUUUCGUGGGGUCCUUUCUCUGCACUCUGUCCAAUGGUAAAGCCCACUGGUUUAUGCCUCCUGGAAAACAGUUAUUCCAAAGCAGUAUAAGUGAAGCAUUGAUGAAACAGCCAUGAAGAACAUGUUUCCACAUGGCCUCGCACCACCUUUUCAAAGUGCUGUAAAACUUUUUUCAUCCAAAAAUCAGUAACAGAAAAGGAUUGGGAUCAAAUCCCGUACAGAGGUAGUGUAAGAAAAAAGAGAAUAAGGAGCAGAAUAGCAUGUCUUCAGACAAUAAAAUCAAGUUGGAAAAGACAGGUCCACAAAACAGAUCAAAACUGUAACCUAUUAUUUCAAAGUGGGCUAAAAGAUGUUAGGAAAAACAAUGCGAAAGAUGAAAGAACAUGGAUCGAGGAGGGAAUGGGAAGUUAUUGUUUAGUGGCUAUAGAGUCUCUGUUUGGGAUGGUGGAAAAGUUCUGGAAAUGGUAAAUGCUGAUAAAUGCCACCUAUGGGUGUUUGGUUUUAGUUGAUCUUCUUCCAUGAAAGGGUUUGGAGAGAUUCAGAAGCUAUGCUGCUGCCUCCAUCUUUCUGAUGUCCUGCUCAAUCUUUUGACAUAAUUAUUUUGAAUUUGCACAGUGGUGAUGGUUGCACAGCAUUGUGAAUGUAUUUAAUGUCACUGAAUUGUAUACUUGAAAAUGGUUGAAAUAAUAAAUUUUGUUUUAUGUA